rnacentral:rRNA from 1 species
GAUGAACGCUGGCGGCGUGCCUAAUACAUGCAAGUCGAGCGGACGGACGCUAAGCUUGCUUCUCUGAUGUUAGCGGAGGACGGGUGAGUAACACGUGGAUCCCCUACCUAUAAGACUGGGAUCACUUCGGGAAUCCGUCGCUAAUACCGGAUAAUAUUUUGAACCGCAUGGUUCAAUAGUGAAAUACGGUCUUGCUGUCUCUUCUAGCUGGAUCCGCGCUGGAUUAGCUAGUUGGUACGGUAACGGCCUACCAAGGCUACGAUGCAUAGCCGAACUGAGAGGGGGAUAGGCCACACUGGAGCUGAGACACGGUCCAGGCUCCUGCGGGAGGCAGCAGAAGGGAAUCGUCGGCAAUGGGCGAAAGCCUUGCGGAGCAAGGCGGCGUGAGUGGUGAAGGUCUUCGGAUCGUAAAAAUCUGUUAUGAGUGAAGAACAGAUGUGGAAGGAACUGUGGACAUCUUGACGGUAACUAAUAAGAAAGCAACGGCUAACUACGUG